rnacentral:sRNA from 1 species
GCCAGGCGCUGGUGGCGCACACCUGUAAUCCCAGCAGCUUGGGAGGCUGAGGCAGGAGGAUUGUGAGUUCAAAGCCAGCCUCAGCAAAAAGCAAGGCACUAAGCAACUCAGUGAGACCCUGUCUCUA